ACGAAGGGUGCAAGCGUUACUCGGAAUUACUGGGCGUAAAGCGUGCGUAGGUGGUUUGUUAAGUCUGAUGUGAAAGCCCUGGGCUCAACCUGGGAACGGCAUUGGAUACUGGCUUACUAGAGUGCGGUAGAGGGUAGUGGAAUUCCCAGUGUAGCGGUGAAAUGCGUAGAGAUUGGGAAGAACACCGGUGGCGAAAGCGCUCUGCUGGACCACAACUGACACUCACAGGACGAAAGCUAGGGGAGCGAAAGGGA
rnacentral:rRNA from 1 species